GUGUAGCGCAAUGGAUAGCGCUUUGGACUUCUAAUCCAAAGGUUGUGGGUUCGAAUCCCAUCAGGAGUG
rnacentral:tRNA from 1 species